rnacentral:rRNA from 1 species
GAUGAACGCUGGCGGUAUGCCUAACGCAUGCAAGUCGAACGGAGUGGCGGACGGGUGAGUAACGCGUGAGAAUCUGCCUUCAGGAUGGGGACAACAGUUGGAAACGACUGCUAAUACCCGAUACCUGGAGAUGAGCUCGCGUCAGAUUAGCUAGAUGGUGUGGUAAAGGCGCACCAUGGCGACGAUCUGUAGCUGGUCUGAGAGGAUGAGCAGCCACACUGGGACUGAGACACGGCCCAGACUCCUACGGGAGGCAGCAGUGGGGAAUUUUCCGCAAUGGGCGCAAGCCUGACGGAGCAAUACCGCGUGAGGGAGGAAGGCUCUCGGGUCGUAAACCUCUUUUCUCAGGGAAGCGGUACCUGAGGAAUCAGCAUCGGCUAACUCCGUGCCAGCAGCCGCGGCAAUACGGAGGAUGCAAGCGUUAUCCGGAAUGAUUGGGCGUAAAGCGUCCGUAGGUGGUUUUGUAAGUCCGUGGUUAAAGCGUGUAGCUCAACUACAUAACGGCCAUGGAAACUACAAGACUUGAGUGAAGUAGGGGUAGAGGGAAUUCCCAGUGUAGCGGUGAAAUGCGUAGAGAUUGGGAAGAACACCGGUGGCGAAAGCGCUCUACUGGACUUAUACUGACACUGAGGGACGAAAGCUAGGGGAGCGAAAGGGAUUAGAUACCCCUGUAGUCCUAGCCGUAAACGAUGGAUACUAGGUGUUGCCCAGUGCCGUAGCUAACGCGUUAAGUAUCCCGCCUGGGGAGUACGCACGCAAGUGUGAAACUCAAAGGAAUUGACGGGGGCCCGCACAAGCGGUGGAGUAUGUGGUUUAAUUCGAUGCAACGCGAAGAACCUUACCAGGGCUUGACAUGCAGGUGGUGCAUGGCUGUCGUCAGCUCGUGUCGUGAGAUGUUGGGUUAAGUCCCGCAACGAGCGCAACCCUCGUUUUUAGUUGCCACUCUAGAAAGACUGCCGGUGACAAACCGGAGGAAGGUGGGGAUGACGUCAAGUCAGCAUGCCCCUUACGCCCUGGGCUACACACGUACUACAAUGCUAUGGACAAAGGGCAGCCAACUGGCGACAGUGCGCUAAUCCCAUAAACCAUGGCUCAGUUCAGAUUGCAGGCUGCAACUCGCCUGCAUGAAGGCGGAAUCGCUAGUAAUCGCAGGUCAGCAUACUGCGGUGAAUCCGUUCCCGGGCCUUGCACACACCGCCCGUCA